UUACCUUUUAUUUGAAAAAGAAUUUUUCCAAAAUACAUUUUGAUAUUAGUUUUCAUUGCAAAUAAUACAUGCUUGCUACCACAUAUUCAAAUAAUACAGAAAUGAAUAAAUUAAAAAGUGAAAGCUGGUCCCUGCCAUUCUCCAACCUUUUAAAACUUACAAAAUUCAAUAUAUAUUCAUUAUAGAAAGUUUGGAAGACACAUAAGUAAAAUGAAGAAAAUUGAUCCCCCAGUGACACCUCACAAAGACAGCUACUAUUAUUAACAUUUUGAUAUAUUUUCAGUGCUUAUGGAUAUAAGAAAAUUUUUGUCAUAAUUGUCUUAGAGACUCACAUACACACACACACACAAAUAGCAUAGACCAUCUGAAGAAAAAUUGGAAAAUAAAGAUAUACUAACAAAAAUAUUUAAACACCAAACUUUCACCACCCAAUGAUAAUCACUUAAUAUUCUGGUGUGUGUCCUUACAGAUUGACAUCUUUUUAUUUACACAUAGAUAUGCAUAUAUGCGAACACAGAAUCAUUCUAGACAUACUAUUUUAUAAUUUUCAGUUUAUAAUACUUUGUGACAUCUUUCCAUUUUUUCCCUUUUUAAUUGAUUUUUUAAAAAUAAAUGACAGCAGAAUGCAUUAACAAUUCUUACUACACAUAUACAGCACAAUUUUCAUAUCUCUGGUUGUAUAUAAAGUAUGUUGACACCAAUUCGUGUCUUCAUACAUGUACUUUGGAUAAUGAUGUGUACAUUCCACCAUCAUUGCUAAUCCCCUGCCUCCUCCCUUUUCCCUCCCACCCCUCGAUGAAAAUUGAACAAUUGUUUUUGUUGGAGUUCAGAUGUUUCUCAGCUUCCCUUCUCAGCAGUUAGGUGGUGUUGGAGUUUGAUGCUAGCCCCACCCUCAGGGUAGUUGUGUUUGCUAGGGUGAGAGGGUUAGUCCUGGAGGCAGAACUCCUGAAGGUGGGGUUUAAGCUUUGGAAGCCUCUGGUCUCUUUGUUGGGAGUCUUUUGGUCUGGAGAUUUUAAGUCAGUGCACUUCCAAGGCCUAGCAAUUGUUUGUCCAUGAUGGAAGACUGCACCCCAGGAAACUCCUUUGGGUUCUGCUUAUGUGGUUCAGGAGUCUGUUCUUAGCCCACUGUUUUGCUUGCAGACCCCACUAUUUAUGGUCUGUAAUUCAGUCUCUGAAAUUGAUCUUUCUGUCCCCCACCCUUUCAAAUUCCUGAUCAGGUGCUUCUCUCCCAGCUGGUCCUGCAUAUUCCUAUAUGUAACCCUCUCUCCAUGGUUGACUUUCACCUAACCACUUAGGUAUACCCUCUGUCACACAGCGUUGGUUUGCCUGGCUCAUUUUUUGGGGGCCAGACUCAGGUCUGCCAGCAAUCGGCUCACCCAGAUGCUGACUUCCAUGCUGUGGCUGCAAAAUGGUUCCUUCUGCUAUCCUCUGUGCACGCUGCCAGCUUCAUUCCUGUACAUGGGUACUGUGCAGCACAGCUUACUUUUUUUUUUUUUUUUUUUUAGCAACAUGUCUGAUCUCUAAGCUCUCUGUACCCUGACACACCUCAAUUUUCCUGAGAAUAGGGGUUUCUUUAAUUUUUUUAUUGCUUUAUUGCAUGCAUGUAGGGACUGUUCUGGUUUGCAGCUCCAGCUGCUUUCACAGCUGUGGGGCUAGGGAUCUUUUCUGCUUGUUUUAUUAUAUAAGAUCUCCUGAGUCCCUGAUCUGUUCUGAGUGUCCAGUAUUAAAUUCCAGUAAAGUUCCCCCUAACUCUGGAUCAUUCACCCAUCUUGUUGAAAAGCUGCCUAUCUGCUUUUCUUGGUUCACACCAUGCAUCCACCAAGGAAGCGACCCCUCUAUUCUGCCAUCUUCCCAGUAUCUCACAAGAGGUCUUUUGAAGCCCCUGCCUAGAUUUUCUCUUUAAUCAGCACACAUAUUCCUUUUCUAAGAAAAGUAGGAUGCAAGGACUCAAGUCAGAGGCAGUCCUUUUUUUUAAUAUUUAUUUUUUAGUUGUAGUUGGACACAAUACCUUUAUUUUAUUUAUUUGUAUGUGGUGCUGAGAAUCGAACCCAGGCCUUGCAUGUGUUAGGCAAGUGCUCUUCCACUGAGUCACAACCCCAGUCCCAGGCUAUUCUUUUUGCUUUUCUGCAGUUAGGGAACACUGCUUGUUGUACCCUGAGUAUUAACUAAAGUGUCUGUAACUAAAUAAAUGCAUUUAGGUCCACAUUAUCCCUCUCUGCUUACUAUAUGGGGCCUUUUCUCUCAGAACUGCUCAGUUUCUUCAGAAUACCUGUUUCUCCUGACUGAGGCUAUAUGACUGCAUUUCAUAUAUGACUACAGGUUGUCAUUUUAGCUUAAUGUAAUAAACUAUUCAAGAAUUAAAAUUGAAUUUAGUGUGUGAUGAAAAACUCAUAACAACAUUUAACAAGUUAUUAUUGAUUACUGAUAGAUUAAAAUUAGACCUCAAUCACCCUGUGUUUAUUUGUGCACUGAAUUUCAUGAACUGCAGGGGGAACUCUAGGCAGCAGUUUGACUAUACAGUUUUCUAAAGUCAGCUAGCUAUAUGUCUGGCUGAUGAUUCAUACUAAGAAACAUCUUUUAAAUACCAAGAGGGUUGGUAGUAGGCUGUUUUAUCUGUAGGUUUUGUCAGCUUUGAACUGAAAGAGAAUACAGUGAUAUUCUCAUAUUUUCCCAUGUUAAUUUAAUGCCUGUUUAAAGGAAUGCAAAAAUUGUUUUCUUUUAAUGAUUAUUUAUUGCUUUUUAAAAACAAAGACCACUUUUUAAUUGGAGAGUUCUGAAAUGAUGUACUUAAGGGUGCUUUUUGCAUUUUUAUGUAGGUUUAAAACUCUUUUUGUUUGUUACAUAAUCUUAAUGCUUAAAAAUAUACAGCAGUUUGCUUACACUAUGUGCUUUCAAAUUCUUUGCUCUUAACUCUCACCUUAAAACGUCUGGUAUUUGUUGUGUUUCUUUGUACAAACCCCAACAUAAGGUGGCAUAUUCUCUUCAUCAUUAGCAGUUAUAUUACCUUUUUCACUUUUUUUAAGAGAUUAAGAAGUUUUUUUUUAAAAAAAUAAAAAUUUUAAUUGUGAUAUCUGAAGUGUGGGAAUCAGAUUUUGUUGUGAGAAUGUUAU
rnacentral:lncRNA from 1 species